AUGAGGCCCGGAGCAGAGUUCUUCGCCGUGAGCCACCUCGCGGGGGCGCCGACGGCGACGCAGGCGCUGCACUCGGCGUGGCAGUCGCCCGUGCCGUACCUCUUCGGCGGGCUGGCGGCGAUGCUGGGCCUCAUCGCCUUCGCGCUGCUCAUCCUCGCCUGCUCCUACUGGAAGCUCUCCGGGUUCCUCGACGGCGGCUCCGACGGCCAGGCGGCGGGGGACGCCGACGGGGAGAAGGGCUCGGCGUCCGGCGCGUCCAGGCCGGCCCCGGAUUUCCAGGAGCACGUGGUGGUCAUCAUGGCCGGCGACGAGCGGCCCACGUUCCUCGCCAAGCCGGUCACCAGCCGGGCCGCCGAGGCGGAGCUCGCGGCCGCAGCGGCGCCUGAGGCGAGCGCGCGCGACGGAGAAGGCCAGGAGGAGACGGCGGACGAGCAGGUCAGCGAGGCGAGCUCGCACCGCGGCGCCGAGUCGGCGAGCCGAGGCCGUGAUCACCACGAAGACGCGCCGAGCCAGAGCGGCGACCAUGACCACGACGCGGCGAGCGGGAGCCACCACCACCAUGACCGUGGCCUCGAGAGCAGCGGCACGACGGCCCUGCGAGAAAGCCGGCAAUAA
rnacentral:rRNA from 1 species